rnacentral:tRNA from 1 species
GCCCCCAUAGCUCAGGGGAUAGAGCGUUGGUCUCCGGAACCAGAAGCGGAGGUUCGAAUCCUCCUGGGGGCA